rnacentral:rRNA from 1 species
GACGAACGCUGGCGGCGUGCUUAACACAUGCAAGUCGAACGGAAAGGCCCUGCUUUUGUGGGGUGCUCGAGUGGCGAACGGGUGAGUAACACGUGAGUAACCUGCCCUUGACUUUGGGAUAACUUCAGGAAACUGGGGCUAAUACCGGAUAGGAGCUCCUGCUGCAUGGUGGGGGUUGGAAAGUUUCGGCGGUUGGGGAUGGACUCGCGGCUUAUCAGUUUGUUGGUGGGGUAGUGGCUUACCAAGGCUUUGACGGGUAGCCGGCCUGAGAGGGUGACCGGCCACAUUGGGACUGAGAUACGGCCCAGACUCCUACGGGAGGCAGCAGUGGGGAAUAUUGCACAAUGGGCGGAAGCCUGAUGCAGCAACGCCGCGUGCGGGAUGACGGCCUUCGGGUUGUAAACCGCUUUCGCCUGUGACGAAGCGUGAGUGACGGUAAUGUGUAAAGAAGCACCGGCUAACUACGUG